rnacentral:rRNA from 1 species
CCUACGGGUGGCAGCAGUGGGGAAUAUUGAGCAAUGGGCGCAAGCCUGACCCCGCAACGCCGCGUGAUGGAAGAAGGCUUUCGGGUUGUAAACUUCUUUUCUCAGGGACGAAUAAAGUGAGGGUACCUGAGAUAUAAUCCACCGCUAACUACGUGCCAGCAGCCGCGGUAAUACGUAGGUGGCAAGCGUUAUCCAGAUUGAUUGGGUGUAAGGGGCGUGUAGGCGGGAGCGCAAGUCAGAUGUGAAAACUCAGGGCUGAACCCUGAGCCUGCAUUUGAAACUGUGUUUCUUGAGUUGUGGAGAGGCAAUCGGAAUUCCGUGUGUAGCGGUGAAAUGCGUAGAUAUACGGAGGAACACCAGUGGCGAAGGCGGAUUGCUGGACAGUAACUGACGCUGAGGCGCGAAAGCGUGGGGAGCAAACAGGAUUAGAUACCCCGGUAGUC